ACCGCCAAACUUACCUUAGAUACCAAUCGAUCAAUAAGCAUUGAUCAAGUCAGCUAAUUAAUUCAGGUUUGAACCAUGGAGCCAAAUUAGAUCUUUUGAUUUGAUCAACAACAUAUGGUUGUUAGUUGAUCUGACCAAACUUACAACUAUUUGGGUUGGACAUGAGAGAUUAGACUUAAACCUAACCAACUAUUGAUUC
rnacentral:lncRNA from 1 species